ACUUAUUUCGUUGGUAUGUCGUCGGAAUAACGUUAUUCCGACGAUUUGUUUCCUCAGUAUAUCGCUGUUUUCUUGUAGUGGAAGGCCAUGAUCCAAACGAGUCGAUAGGAAAUCUCCCUCCGGGUAGUAUCUACUCCUCACUACCUUCACGCAUAAAGAAUCAUCAAACAUAAGUAGCCCCCAUCCUUGUUUGACCAAAAGAGCUUGGUUGAAUUUCUCUAAAUCCCUAAACAAAAGACCUCCAUUCUCUUUAUCAAGACACGUCCUUUCCCAUGAAACCCAAUGCAUCUUAUUCUUUCUCUCUUGAGCGUUUCACCAGGAAUUUUCCAUCGCACUAGUGAAAUUUUGACAAGUCUUCUUUGGUAAUUUAAAAACCGACAUAGCAAAUACCGUCAUCACCAUUGCCACAAAUUUAAGGAGAAUUUCUUUCCCUCCUGCCGACAGAAAACUCCCAUACCAGCCAUUGAUGCGAUGUCAUCUUCUCCUGUAUAUAUUGAAGCAUUUCAAUUUUUGACCCACUGAAACACUAAGGUAAACCAAGAUACUUUCCAAUACUUCCUUCAUUCACAAUUCCUGUGAUAUCUUUGAUUUUCCUUUUGCGUUCCUCAUCAACUUUUUUUCCAAAAGUAAUAGCUGGUUUGGUAAAGCUAAUCAUCUGGCAUGAGGCACCUUCAUACUCUUUCAGUACCUUACAGACCGCCACUGUCAUCUAUAUUCUUCUUAAUCCUAAUGGUAGUGGCAAAGAAUACACUAUUAGAUCAAAUUGUCAUUUCUCGUUUAUCUUUAUGUUUCUUUUCUAAAUAUAUAUUAUAUAAAUUUCGAAUCUGUGACUAAUCGAAUUUGAUUGUUUUUGUAUAUUAAAAAAAUUAAAUAAAUUUAAAUAUAAAUGAGUUAAAAAUCAUUAAAUAAAUAAAAAAAACUAGAGAUUGUGAUUUUGGUCAAAAUAGAUCCUUUUAUAUCGGAAUCUGAAAAGAUAGAUAGCUUAAAUUAGACAUGUUUUAAUUUUUGAUUCAUCUAUAAAUGUACUUCUCUGACUUUUUAACUUUUAAAACACCAUUAUUUCAUUAUCGAAGAUGAAAAUUGCUUUCAAACAUUGGUUUAUUGGUUUCGUUAUCCUCACAAUUCUUCUGUUUGGCGAAACGACAGUUGCUCAGAAAGGAAAAGGUAACCAAUGUAAUGAAACAUUACAAAACAAAAGUGGAACAUGUGAUGCCAACAAAUGUCAAGCCGCAUGUGUCAAAAGGCAUAAACCAGGGCACGGUAUCUGCACAAAUGGCGAAGACAACAACAAAGGAAAAGUUAUAUGCAUAUGUCAUUAUCAAUGCCCUCGCUGAUUUUUUAUCUAUAUCGAAACUCAAAUAAUAUAAUAAUAAUAUUACGUUUUUGUUAAAGAAAAAAUAUAUUUUUUAAUAAAUUGUUGCUGGUGUUCUGGCAUAAUAAGAUGUACUAUGUCGAAUAGAAAUAUAAAUAACAAAUAUUGAUAUGCC